rnacentral:misc_RNA from 1 species
AGCGUGGAAAGGUGGUUCUUUUCGUUCGAUGCUUUGUUGGAUGUGGAUCGCAAAUUAAUAUCCAUUUUAAUCCACAACGUAGAAACCUUUAAUACCAUUUAAAUAUGACUGAAACUCUUCAAUUGAGGGGAACACUUCGGGGGCAUAAUGGAUGGGUCACCCAAAUUGCUACAAAUCCAAAAUAUCCGGAUAUGAUAUUGUCUUCCUCACGUGAUAAGACUCUAAUAGUAUGGAAAUUAACACGUGAUGAAGCCAAUUAUGGAAUUCCGCAAAAGCGUUUGUACGGUCACUCUCACUAUAUUAGUGAUGUAGUUCUGUCAUCCGAUGGAAAUUAUGCUCUGUCUGGUUCAUGGGACAAAACUCUUCGUCUGUGGGAUUUGGCUGCAGGACGUACCACAAGAAGAUUUGAAGACCAUACCAAGGUGUGACAUCUUCCUUCUGAUCUACAGUCGCCAUUCUUCAUGAAAUAUAUGGAAGCUUUUUUUUUUCACUUUUUUUUUUGAAUGCCAUGGGCAGAAGAUAAAACUACGUGAGUGAUGGGAUAUAUACGGAAGCUUUUUUUUAUAUAUUUUUUUUUAUCUUUAAUAAAUAGAAGAGGUGGGCAAAUAAGUCUACGAUAUUGAUGUUUUAAGUGUUGCCUUCUCUGUGGAUAAUCGUCAAAUUGUCUCUGGUUCGCGAGACAA